rnacentral:rRNA from 1 species
AGAGUUUGAUCCUGGCUCAGGAUGAACGCUGGCGGCACGCCUAACACAUGCAAGUCGAACGGAGCUUUGAGAGCUUGCUCUUAAAGCUUAGUGGCGGACGGGUGAGUAACACGUGAGCAACCUGCCUUUCAGAGGGGGAUAGCUUCUGGAAACGGAUGGUAAUACCCCAUAACAUAGCGGUGCGGCAUCGUACUGCUAUCAAAGAUUUAUCGCUGAAAGAUGGGCUCGCGUCUGAUUAGCUAGUUGGUGAGGUAACGGCCCACCAAGGCAACGAUCAGUAGCCGGACUGAGAGGUUGAACGGCCACAUUGGGACUGAGACACGGCCCAGACUCCUACGGGAGGCAGCAGUGGGGAAUAUUGCACAAUGGGCGCAAGCCUGAUGCAGCGAUGCCGCGUGAGGGAAGAAGGUUUUCGGAUUGUAAACCUCUGUCAACAGGGACGAAAAUGACGGUACCUGUGAAGGAAGCUCCGGCUAACUACGUGCCAGCAGCCGCGGUAAUACGUAGGGAGCAAGCGUUAUCCGGAAUUACUGGGUGUAAAGGGAGUGUAGGCGGGACUGUAAGUCAGAUGUGAAAUAUACCGGCUCAACUGGUAGACUGCAUUUGAAACUGCGGUUCUUGAGUGAAGUAGAGGUAAGCGGAAUUCCUAGUGUAGCGGUGAAAUGCGUAGAUAUUAGGAGGAACGUCAGUGGCGAAGGCGGCUUACUGGGCUUUAACUGACGCUGAGGCUCGAAAGCGUGGGGAGCAAACAGGAUUAGAUACCCUGGUUAGUCCCCGGCUUAAAACGAUGAUUAAUUAGGUGGGGGGGGACUGCCCCCUUCCGUGCCGGAAGCAAACGCAAUAAGUAAUCCACCUGGGGAGUACGGCGGCAAGGCUGAAACUCAAAAGGAAUUGACGGGGGGCCCGCACAAGCCAGUGGAGUAUGUGGUUUAAUUGGAAGCAACGCGAAGAACCUUACCAGGUCUUGACAUCGAGUGAAGAUUCAAGAGAUUGAAUCGCCUUUGGGCACAAAGACAGGUGGUGCAUGGUUGUCGUCAGCUCGUGUCGUGAGAUGUUGGGUUAAGUCCCGCAACGAGCGCAACCCUUACCAUUAGUUGCUACGCAAGAGCACUCUAAUGGGACUGCCGUUGACAAAACGGAGGAGGGUGGGGAUGACGUCAAAUCAUCAUGCCCCUUAUGACGUGGGCUACACACGUACUACAAUGGCAAUCAAACAGAGGGAAGCAAUACAGCGAUGUAAAGCAAAACCCGAAAAAUUGUCUCAGUUCGGAUUGCAGGCUGCAACUCGCCUGCAUGAAGUCGGAAUUGCUAGUAAUCGCAGAUCAGCAUGCUGCGGUGAAUACGUUCCCGGGCC